rnacentral:rRNA from 1 species
UACGUAGGGUGCGAGCGUUGUCCGGAAUCAUUGGGCGUAAAGCGCGCGUAGGCGGCCCGAUAAGUCUGCUGUGAAAGUCCAGGGCUCAACCCUGGAAUGCCGGUGGAUACUGUCGGGCUAGAGUUCGGAAGAGGCAAGUGGAAUUCCUGGUGUAGCGGUGGAAUGCGCAGAUAUCAGGAGGAACACCUAUAGCGAAGGCAGCUUGCUGGGACGACACUGACGCUGAGGCGCGAAAGCGUGGGGAGCGAACAGG